rnacentral:rRNA from 1 species
GACGAACGCUGGCGGCGUGCUUAACACAUGCAAGUCGAGCGGUAAGGCCUUUCGGGGUACACGAGCGGCGAACGGGUGAGUAACACGUGGGUGAUCUGCCCUGCACUUCGGGAUAAGCCUGGGAAACUGGGUCUAAUACCGGAUAUGACCUCCUAUCGCAUGGUGGGUGGUGGAAAGAUUUAUCGGUGCAGGAUGGGCCCGCGGCCUAUCAGCUUGUUGGUGGGGUAAUGGCCUACCAAGGCGACGACGGGUAGCCGACCUGAGAGGGUGACCGGCCACACUGGGACUGAGACACGGCCCAGACUCCUACGGGAGGCAGCAGUGGGGAAUAUUGCACAAUGGGCGAAAGCCUGAUGCAGCGACGCCGCGUGAGGGAUGACGGCCUUCGGGUUGUAAACCUCUUUCAGCAGGGACGAAGCGCAAGUGACGGUACUUGCAGAAGAAGCACCGGCUAACUACGUG